UUUGUAAUAAUAAUACGAUUUAUUCUCUCAGCGUGAGGUCACUGGGUCGUGUAGGCGGGGGAAAUUGGGAGUUGGAAUGGGAAAAAUUGGGGGGUUUGGGAGAGGGUUGGACUAAUUCAUGGAGCUGUGAGCGUGGAGUGGGUGCGCGGGGCGGGGGAUAAGGGGGUGGAAGCAAGGCAAAGGCUGAGGGGAGAGACGACUUAGGAGGCGCCUGUGCCCGCCCCCAGUCCAAGGUAAAUAAAGAGGCGGCCCCGCCCCGCCAGCCCCCGCCGACAGGUGCUGGUCCCCGUUCCUCCGGCCGGCCGGCCCCACCCUCCUGGGAGCGGGCUCCCCACCCCAGUCCGCGGCUCUAAAUCCCCCAGCCUCCUUCCCGCGCCCCUGGCCCUUUCCUCCAGCCCAGCCCGGCCCCAUUUUCUCCGGGCGUGGACCCAGUUCUCUUCCCCGAGGUACCGGGCGCAUCCCGCCCCCGCCCCGGAGGGAAGAUGCACGUGAACAAAGCGAAUCGGGGGAGGCCGAAACGGCAGAAAAAGGCAACAAGACAGAGGGAAAGAGCAUGGAUGUCAGGAAGCAGUCGAGAGAAGGGAGGAUUGCCCUCUGGCUGGCCAGAAGGGGUCAGGAGCAUCAUGUGGUUUCUGCCCUUCUGGAAUAUAUUGUCCAGCUGCAAAGGAAAGAAGAUGGAAUGAUGGAGGGAAAGAAGAAGGAGGAGAAGAAAGAGGAGGAGGAGGAGAAGGGUAAGGGGAAUAGGAAGAGGAAACAGCUUCCAGUACUACAGCAGCGCCACUCAGUCCCUUUUGCUUGUGGAGGGAAAGCACUGAUGGGAAUAUCCAGGUCAGGAAGUAACAGACCAAGUGGCCAGCUCUGCUCACACCUUCCCACUUGAAACUGCUCUCCCUUUGGGGUGCUCUCUGAUUCCAGUAUUCCCACUAUUCAUCUGGUCCAAACAUGGAUACAAACCCCGCUCCUGUUCCCCUUGCCACAGCUGUACAAGGCUGGGUUUAUCCUAAUGAUUGAAAUCCAGUCAACAAAAGGGACCCCAGGUUUUAAGGAAUCAGUCCUGUUUCCUAUUCUGUUUUAAAGGUAUUUCUAGCACGAGGGAAACACAGAAUGUCAGAGGCGCAACACUGGCCUGCUUUCUUUCUGCUUCUAGUACAGGAUCCUCUUACUUUUCCCCAUUUAGAAGCAUUCUUUCCCAGUCUUUUUGCUAUCUUCAGAGCCAAGGUCAAAGAUUCCAGUUCUGAUAUGAACAGGAACAACCUUUCUGGAGGACGAUUUGACAGUACUGAUCAAAAAAUCUUUAAAAUAUGCAUUGCUGUUUUUGCGCAUUACUAAAUUGUGACACAGCUAUUCCAUUUAUAGAAAUAUUCUAAGGAAAUAAAAAUAGAAUGUGGACAAAGAUUUAAUCUACAGCACCCAUCAGAGCACUAUUUACAUAAUAAUGAAAGAUGGUACACA